rnacentral:rRNA from 1 species
AUGAAGAAAUAUGCAGACACCAAGAGAGUUGAAAGAACUUUCCAAACGGAAGAUGUUGUAUAUCUCAAACUGGCCCCUUAUAGAUUGGCAACAUUUGGGUUCAAAGGAGCACUGAAGUUACAGAACAAAUUCUAUGGGCCAUUUUUGGUGAUUCAAAAAGUGGGAAAAUCUGCAUACAAAUUACAGCUGCCAAGCACAGUACAAAUCCAUUCAGUGUUCCAUGUCAGCCAGUUGAAGAAACACGUAGGCAACAAGUCCAUCCCUGGUCCUAAAUUGCCAUUUGUUAAUGCUGAUGGUACACUGAAGACUGGACCAGCAGAAGUCCUCCAAGUGCACCGAGUUCCAAGACAAAAUGUACCUGUUGUACAAUGGCUUAUCAGAUGGAUCGAUCUACCAGCACGUACAAUUUCCCGGAGUUUUUCAGCACAACUACACAUGCGUGGAGGGGGGAUGCAGCAACGUUAUGAGGACACGUCGAAACUCAAGGGGAGCAAUGUCAGGACUGAGGUUGUCGUUGUAUUUCUUUAG